rnacentral:lncRNA from 1 species
CAAUUUUAACAGAAAUCGAAUGAAGCUGAAAUCAAGUCAAGCUUUUUACCUCAUCGUAAACAACAAAAGUUUUGCUAGUUUGUCAACAACAAUGUUAGAACUUUAUCGCGAAGAAAAGGAUGAAGAUGGAUUCUUGUACAUGGUCUACGCUUCACAAGAAAUGUUUGGCUGAAGUUUCAUCGUCACCAUUCAAAUAUUUAUUAAUUGGGCCAUAAUUAUUGGUUAUGUCGACACUGGUGUCGCCAUCUUGGGUUAGGGCCAUAACGGUUAGGUAUCCCACACCACACAAAAGAUAAUUGUCAUGUACACCAUAAAUACUUUUAGUUUAAAAUAGUAGGAAACUUAGUUCAAUUUGUAUUUUGGUAUCAGGAUAUGUGGUUUCGAUAUUUAAGGUCAACUUUACAAAAACAAAUGUUUUUAUGCUACUAAAUCUAAUGAAAGUAAAUUUUUGCAGUCGUGAAGGGCAUUUAACCGAAUUUCACAUUUUUAUGAUUGUAUUUUAAGAAUAUUCAAAAUAACUGAAAUACACCAAAAUACACCAAGUAUUUUGGGAACUCGCUUUCUUGCAGAUGUGAAAAUCUCGUCUUGGUUUGACAUGCAAAUAUCUAUGCAUACUUGUGACAUUGCAUAUGGGAAUUAAGAAUUACAGUGCAAAUUUUAUUAACUAUGUAGGCUUUCUGAUUGACGUAAAAUAUGAAACAAUAAUAACAAUAACAGAAAUAAUACAAAAAAAAACACAAACAUUUAGGAGUGACUGCAUAAUAUUUUCGUGUAUAUUAUUAAAAGUAAUAGUAUGGUUUCUUGUGCAAUUUGAAAAAACAUACACUCGUGACUUUUUCAAAGUCUUUGAAAAACUCACUCGUGCAUGUUCAAAUUGCCCACGAAACCAUACUAUUACCUAUACAAAUAGUGUUAUUUCUAGGUCUAACCAAGAAAAUAAAAGACUGUUUAUAGUUAUGUCAUCAGUAACAAGAUAUACGUCUCUAAAACCAAGGUCUCAAUCACUGACUUAAACGAGACUCUAUAGCCAUGGUUAUGUACUUUCCGGAACGGUGUAUUUCAAGAACUUUUCCCAGAAAUUAAGCAUCUGUUACAGUCAUGGCAAUGGUGGAGUGUUUCUAAAAUCAUUUGCUCACACGAACCUGCUGAGUUAUUUGAAAAUUGCCUACGUAAUUGAUAACCUAAUUCUUGUUGUAAAAUUUGCACCAAUCACCUUUGGUUUUGGUGCAAGAAGUGUUGUUUCGUGGAAACGAUCGAAAACACGAAGUUCAGAUAAUAGACCUUUCUUAUGACGUCAAACGUAAAAAAACACUUAGUGCGAUGUCCCAAGGGACAAAUUUUAGCGACAAUUCGCAAUGCAAAUACCCUGGUUACCCUGGUUGCCAGGGUAAUUGCAAACGAAUUGGUGAAAUAUUUUAGGAACACUUUCGUUGCCAUGACUGUGAUUGAUGCAAGUUCAACAAAUUCAAAACCUUUAUGAGCAAAAAUUGAAAAUCUGCGUUCUAAAGUAAAAACAUUUGUUUUCAUAAAUGGCCUUAAAAUAGAUUUAAAGUUUGCAGUAUUGCUACAUGCUGGACAUGGGUGGAUAGUGCCGUGUACUCUCUCGUUGAUGCAAAUACGAAGGACCGUACAUGGCCGAAUAUUGUUGCAGGAAACAGGGAAGAACAAUAAACAGUAUUAGAGUAACAUUCGUAAUUUAUUAUCGUUAUUAACUUAAAAAAUAGAAAGUAGAGAUAUGCACAAAAGUUUAUAAAAAGUAUACUUAUGUCUUAAACUUUGACUUAAAAAUAGAUUCAGUUUUUUUAAGGGAGUUUUCUUGUGUAGUACGUUUAUUAUUUUUGUGCUUCAUAUUGUCUGCAGUUGCCUUCGGACAGUUCAAGUAUAUCCAUCUUGUUUUGACUGCAGGUUUCCGCACCUUGAAGGUUAGUACCUACAAAGUAAUGAAAGUCCACAGCCCAGGGGGGUGCCUACCUACCUAGUGGCGUCUGCCACCCUCCUAGAGAAGUCCAGCACCACCUUAAAAACUGCUUGACUAUACAUUUUCUGCUUUUCGGGUGGCGAGUAGCAGAUUAAAUUCUACUGUUAGCGCGGGUCGAUUUCUUGAAACGAUUUAAUUGAUUUGUGAGCUCACGAGAAAAUACUCAGAAUGAACACUUUAGUUCAACCAUAUUUUCAAAUAUACUGUAUUUUAACAAGCAAAUUUACUAUACUGUGUUACAGCAACUGUCCAGUGGCGCACACGUGAUAAAAAGCCGAUAUAAAGAUAAUGUAACAGAACGGCAAACAUGCAGAUUCGACUAUCUCAAAUAGUGGUAUAAAUGUUUGGAUAGUAGCAUUGCAGACUGCAGAUGAGGGAAAAGCUCCAUCUGCACCACCUCAUACCUGCACACUCGACUGGCGUUGGCAGGUUUGGUCAAUUUUGGGCUAGCAUUUGGCAGUGAGCUCCAUAGUCAGGCAGAUAGAGGAUCAAAGUUAUGGAAAACUUACCAUAUCGUGGGACAAUUCCAUUUUGCCUUCAUAUUGUGCCCUGAAGGCUAGUAAGUACGUUUCUGAAUGUUGGCCGCGUUAAAAUUGCUUGUGGGCUUCUGCCAACACGUUUUUCUUCGAAUUUUGUAUUAAACUCUAUUACAGUUAAAAAAUGUGAAAUUUCUGAUACAUUUCUAAUACAAAUGACUUGCAUCAAUAGAAAGCUAACAAAAAACUACAUAUAAGACAUUUAAAUGGUUAGUUGGGAUUUCUACAUGUAACUCUAGUGAUGCUCUUCACUUCAGUAUUGUGUCCACAGGCUUGCAAGAUUUUGCAUUUUUGAGCAGGCACAUUUGCUUAAAAGAACACGGGGUGAACAGUGGAUAACAUCACAGGGAUUCUACCGCCUUUGGAGCCUCUGACAUACGAUAGCCAGUGGUGUUCCCUGGCAAAAUUGUUGCCCCCCCUGAGAAAAUCUGGGCUUAAGAUAAUUAUGUACAAGUUUAUAAGUUAUUUAUACAUAUCUAAUAUGCAUGGUAGAAAAAGUAUUUUUGGAUGGUUGAGUUUGUGUGCGUUUUUUGAUAACAUAGCUCCAAACUAUUAAAGCUUCAAAGGCCCAUUCAAAUUCUUGCACAGACUGAAUCUUCCCCCCCCCCCUCAAAAGUCAAACGGUCCGCCCCUAAACCCGGGUAACCGUUUAAAUGUCUUAUAUGUAGUUUAUUGCAAGCUUUCAAAUGAUGUAAGUCAUUUGUGUUAGAAAGGUAUUUGAAAUUUCACAUUUUUUAACUGUAAUGGAAUUUAAUACAACAUUCGAAGAAAAACGUGUCGGCAGGAGCCCACAAGAAAUUUCAACGCGGUCAACAUACAGAAACGUACUUACUAGCCUUCAGGGCACAAUAUGAAGGCAAAAUGGAAUUGUCCCACGAUAUGGUAAGUUUUUUCCUUCUAUCUGCCCGACUACCAUGUAUACUGGACCGAGAACUCUGGUCCAAAACGUGAAGCCAAAGAUGCAUGGCGGAAAUGAAGCUGCCGGGAAUUAAUGUGCCGAAAUGUCGUAUUUUGAUUUUAUCACAGUGAUUUUAUGAACUGACAACUUGGUUAACGUUACGGUCCGUUAGAAAAAAACUGGAAUUAACUGGGGAAACAUGGUAUUAAAACUAUUUUCGACCUUCAUGAUCAUAGUUGUUGGACGUAAAUUCCGUCUUCUUCGCUUCACUUUUCUCAUAGGCCAAAUGACUGAAGUUCUUGCUCCAGAUAUAUAGAGCCCACUGGCAUUUGGUAAGUAUGACAUUACACGUGAAACGAAUCGUAUCGUAAAAAUUUAUUUCAUGACGCUAGCCUCAUCAACAUAAGUUGGUUUUCAUGAGGGGCAUCGUCAAUUUAUAUACAAAGUAUUAAUAUUUACAAGAGAAUAAAUAGAAAC